rnacentral:lncRNA from 1 species
UUGAAUUCUUCCCCCUCCCAAUGCUCCCUACAACGUGUCCUAAUGUCAUACAGAUCCUCAGCUGCAUGAACAAAGCUUAACAUACUCAAACACCUGGCAGUGGGAAUGUGAUAUCAUCUGUGAAGGGAGCACGUAGGAUCAGAUCUACCCCUAAUGGAUGUAUUUGCUGUGCAGAAAAUGGUGUCCUGAGAAUGUGCCAUAGCAUAUCAGGCUGGUAUCAGCUCAGCUGGAGAGUGGAAUGGUUCCAAAUUACCACAGUAUUGAGAUGGAAGGGCUGACAGCACAAGACAGAGAUCAGGAAGUUUAAGCUCCACCACAAAGGACAGCGUAAGGUCCAAGUUCUGUAAGAGCUUCUGUCAGAG